CCUACGGGAGGCAGCAGUAGGGAAUAUUGCUCAAUGGGGGAAACCCUGAAGCAGCAACGCCGCGUGGAGGAUGAAGGUUUUCGGAUUGUAAACUCCUUUUGUUAGAGAAGAUAAUGACGGUAUCUAACGAAUAAGCACCGGCUAACUCCGUGCCAGCAGCCGCGGUAAUACGGAGGGUGCAAGCGUUACUCGGAAUCACUGGGCGUAAAGAGCGAGUAGGCGGGAUAGCAAGUCAGAUGUGAAAUCCUAUGGCUUAACCAUAGAACUGCAUUUGAAACUGGUAUUCUAGAGUAUGGGAGAGGUAGGUGGAAUUCUUGGUGUAGGGGUAAAAUGCGUAGAUAUCAAGAGGAAUACUCAUGGCGAAGGCGACCUGCUAGAACAUAACUGACGCUGAUGCGCGAAAGCGUGGGGAGCAAACAGGAUUAGAUACCCGUGUAGUC
rnacentral:rRNA from 1 species